AGAGAGAGAGAGUGUGUCUUUGUGUGAGGUGCUGUCGGAGCGGGGAGGUGGCCGGGUGGCACAAUGAAGCAGCUGUUUGCUCACGGCCAGUCUCGAGUCGGCGGGGAGGAUUUAACACGUCGGCCCGGCGUUGGCAGCGGGGGAGCUGCGGUUAGGGCCGAGCUAAUCACCCGAGCGAGCUUCUGACACGUAAAGCGCAAAGUUACGAGGCCGGCAGAACUCAAACACCUCUUCGGCGUAGAAGAAUGGAUUAUCUGCGUGCCGUUUAAAGGCUGCUGGCUCGACAUCACGGGGAAGGGCAGCCAAACGUUGGGUUUGUUCAAAAGAAAAGCACCAAAUCUGUCCGUGCGGUAGCGGGAGGGUGGGUGGUCAGUCGUGCUAAAGCAGUGGUCGCCAAGCCGUCGAUCUCCAAAAUAAAAUGAAAAUAAAUUCAGAAACACAUUGUU